rnacentral:lncRNA from 1 species
CACCGGGCAUCCCUGCGUCCCGGGUCCCUUGCACCGGGGACACCGGGCAUCCCUGCCUCCCGGGGCUCUCUGCGUCCCGGGACCUCCUGCACCGGGGACACCGGGCAUCCCUGCGUCCCGGGUCCCUUGCACCGGGGACACCGGGCAUCCCUGCCUCCCGGGGCUCUCUGCGUCCCGGGACCUCCUGCACUGGGGACACCAGGCAUCCCUGCAUCCCGGGGCUCUCUGCAGCCCGGGACCCCCUGCACCGGGGACACCGGGCACCCCAGUGUCCUGGGUCCCCUGCACUAGGAACUCCCUGCAUCCCUGCAUCCCGGGACCCCUUGCAUUCCUAGACCCCGUGCACCUCGGGACCCCUGCACCGGCUCCCCCGGCAUCCCUGCAUCUGGGGACCCUCUGCACCGGGGACCCCAUACACUUCCCGGGACCUCCUGCACCCUGAAUCCCCUACACCGAAGACACCAGGCAUCCCUGCAUCCCGGGACACCUUGCAUCCCUAGACCCUGUGCACCUCGGGACCCCUGUGCCAGGGAUCCCCAGAACCCUGCACCAGUGGCACCGGGCAUCCCUGGUGUCCUGGGACUCCCUGCAGCCCGAGACCCUCUGCAUCCCUGCACCCUGGGACCCCCUGUACCGUGCACCUUUGUACCCUGGGCAUCUUUGCACCCUCAUAUUCCCUGCACUGGGGACACCAGGCAUCCCUGCACCCUGGACUCCCUGCACUGUCUGUCCUUGCACCCCCCGAAAUCCCUGCACCCUGGACUCCCUGCACUGGAGACAUUGGGCAUCCCUGCACCUUGGGGACUUCAUGCAGUGGGAGCACCCUUCAACCCUGCACCCCUGGGCUCCCUGCACACCAGGACCCCCCUGCACCAUGCAUCCUUGCACUCUGGGCAUCCCUGCACCCCUGGACACCCUGCACUGGGGACACCAGGCAUCUCUGCGUCCCAGGACCCCCUGCACCCUGGGGACCCCCCCGCACUGGAGACACCCGUGCCCCAGAACCCUGCACCCCUGGGGACACCGAAUGUCCUGCACCCCUUGCACCCUGGCAUUGCCUGCACUGGGAAUACCAGGCACCCUGGAACCCCCUGCACCCCAGGACCCCUGUACCACCACCCCCAGGCACCGCAGGACACUGCACCCUGGGGAUCCGUGCAGGGUGUGACGGUGUCCGUGCACGGUGUGAUGGUGUCCAUGCACGGCUGUGUCUCCGGGUUGGUGCACGCGUGUUUUACCCCUGCACUCGCGCUGUACACGCACGUACAGCGCGUGCAGAGCAUAUGGUGUGCGGGCAGGGCUGCGUUGCGUGUGUGUGUCAGCCGGGGCGAGGGUUUUCCCCGAAUCCCCCUGUGCCUGGCUGAGUCACGGGUACGCCUCUCGGUGCAGGCCGGGCACCCUGGCACCCGUCUCGCCCUGGGGCUGGGCCGCGGGCGUUGCCGGGCGCCCGGCGCCGGCAGGGACGGGGGGGGGGGCCANNNNNNNNNNNNNNNNNNNNNNNNNNNNNNNNNNNNN